rnacentral:rRNA from 1 species
UACGGAGGAUCCGAGCGUUAUCCGGAUUUAUUGGGUUUAAAGGGUGCGUAGGCGGACUGAUAAGUCAGUGGUGAAAUGCUGCAGCUUAACUGUAGAAUUGCCGUUGAUACUGUCAGUCUUGAGUACAGUUGAGGUAGGCGGAAUGUGGUGUGUAGCGGUGAAAUGCAUAGAUAUACCACAGAACACCGAUUGCGAAGGCAGCUUACUAAAGUGUCACUGACGCUGAUGCACGAAAGCGUGGGUAUCAAACAGG